UUCAGUACAGGGGGUCGGGUGCUUGACCCAUUUCGUAGUUCACUAUCUCCAAGAACAGUCGAGGCACUCGUUUGUACAUAAAAUUGGUUGAGGGAUCCAAUACCCAUUGAUCUUCGUGCCUCCUUGGAUAAUAUUGAAAGCUUUGAGGCGGAAUUGGAGUUUGAUCCAAAAUCAAGUUUUACUUAUGUUGAUGAGAAGUAACUCAAGGCUUAUGGUUUGCAUGAUGAUAUAGAGGAAGAGAUGGGAAGCUGCUGUUAUUUGAUUGUUGGAUGCUCCUCAAUCCUUUAUCAGUUAAUGUUCAUAUUUUUGUAAUUUAGAUAGUUUUUGUAAUAGAUGGCUUAUGUACAUUUUUU